GUCGGAGGUGGGCGGGGUGAGGGGAGAGGGAGAUGCUUUUAUACGACACUGGAGGACCUUAUGGUGGCUGAGCGGGGAAAGCUCCUGGAGUUUAAGAAGUGGGCAUUUUAGCAAGUGUGGCAUGGAAGACACGCUGCCCCUAUUGCAGUUUUCUUUUCUGCACAGCUACUAAAGUGGUCAACAAGGUGCCUAUGAGAAGCCCACAAAGCAAGAAACUCAGUAACAGCAGCACUGUUCUCUCUACCUUUGUGUUCAUAGGGAACUCGUAUUCAGAGGCAUACUGAGCCCCACAAACUCCCAAAAUCUGCCCCAAAGGGUAUGUGGGGUAAACAUAGGACAGGUUUAGGGGAGUGCAUGGAGGGAGAGGGGCACGUUCUGUUGCACUAGUAUAAAUCCUUCCACUAAUGUAAUGAGAGACUAUGCUGGAUAUACAAGCCAUAACAUUUAUUGAAUGUUUUUCUGUUUAGAGGCAGCAAAGGGGCUAGAACUGUUCGGAAGAAAAGUGUAGCAGUGAACUGGGCAAAACGUUUCUUUGCAUGAGAGGAAAAGGACACAUUCAGAUCUGUUUUUGUAGGGAAGCAGAGAGGAAAUGGUCCCAAUUUGAGAAGGGAGCAACUUGGUUCUUUAUUUGCAUAUAAUUAUUCAGUCUUGCUGGAAAUAAUGGGAUUUGAAUUAAUCAAAGCUAAAUUGCCCCACUAAUUUCAUUUGGAUGCAUCUCAAUAUGAGUUGGAUUUGAGCUGAUGUAUGUUGUUGAAGGCCGCUGAUUCAGGCUUCAGAAUGGAAAAGCCUGGAAUUAACCUUCAUUUUUACAAACUUAGUUUAAUUAUUAAAAUUUAAUUUCUUUGUUCUUAAGUGUACAGUUAUGAAUACUUCAUGAAGUUUAUAGCAGAUAUGUCUCCAGCUCUUAUUAUUAAUUGAAAUUGUUAUGUAAGUAGAUUUAUGAAUUUUACUUUUUUUGUCUUCAAGUGUCUUUUGGUGUCCUGAAUUAUAUGUUUAAUAAACUGGGUUUAACCUGCUUGCAUUCAGUUUUAUUUUAACCAUUUAGAAAUAAAAAUAAAAUUGUGUGGUGCAGCUGUAAGCAUUUUUACUCCAAAGCAAACUGUCCUGAGUUUAAUGGGAUUCAGGCCUAGCAGCAUGCUCUGCUAUUCUCACUCUGAAACAGUUUCAGAGAUCACUUUAGCUCUGCUGCUGACUUCUGGACUU